rnacentral:tRNA from 1 species
GCGACACUAGCUCAGUUGGUAGAGCGCAUCCUUGCCAAGGUUGAGGUCACGAGUUCGAACCUCGUGUGUCGCUCCA